rnacentral:rRNA from 1 species
CGGGAAGAGCUCAAAUUUGAAAUCUGGCGUCCUCAGGGCGUCCGAGUUGUAAUCUAUAGAGGCGUUUUCCGUGCCGGACCGUGUCCAAGUUCCUUGGAACAGGAUAUCAAAGAGGGUGACAAUCCCGUACUUGACACGACGACCGGUGCUCUGUGAUACGUCUUCUACGAGUCGAGUUGUUUGGGAAUGCAGCUCAAAAUGGGUGGUGAGUUCCAUCUAAAGCUAAAUAUUGGCGAGAGACCGAUAGCGAACAAGUACCGUGAGGGAAAGAUGAAAAGCACUUUGGAAAGAGAGUUAAACAGUACGUGAAAUUGUUGAAAGGGAAACGAUUGAAGUCAGUCGUGACCGAGAGGCUCAGCCGGUUCUGCCGGUGUAUUCCCCUCGGUCGGGUCAACAUCAGUUUUGUCCGGUGGAUAAGGGCGGUAGGAAGGUGGCACCCUCGGGUGUGUUAUAGCCUGCCGUCGCAUACAUCGGGUGAGACUGAGGAACGCAGCUCGCCUUUAUGGCCGGGGUUCGCCCACGUCCGAGCUUAGGAUGUUGACAUAAUGGCUUUAAACGACCCGUCU